AACGAACGCUGGCGGCAGGCCUAACACAUGCAAGUCGAGCGCCCCGCAAGGGGAGCGGCGGACGGGUGAGUAACGCGUGGGAACGUGCCUCUUGCUACGGAAUAGCCUCGGGAAACUGGGAGUAAUACCGUAUGUGCCCUACGGGGGAAAGAUUUAUCGGCAAGAGAUCGGCCCGCGUUGGAUUAGGUAGUUGGUGGGGUAAUGGCCUACCAAGCCGACGAUCCAUAGCUGGUUUGAGAGGAUGAUCAGCCACACUGGGACUGAGACACGGCCCAGACUCCUACGGGAGGCAGCAGUGGGGAAUCUUAGACAAUGGGCGCAAGCCUGAUCUAGCCAUGCCGCGUGAGCGAUGAAGGCCUUAGGGUUGUAAAGCUCUUUCAGUGGGGAAGAUAAUGACUGUACCCACAGAAGAAGCCCCGGCUAACUCCGUGCCAGCCGCCGCCGUAACAC
rnacentral:rRNA from 1 species